rnacentral:rRNA from 1 species
UCAAGUGAAUAAGUGCAUCAGGUGGAUGCCUUGGCGAUGAUAGGCGACGAAGGACGUGUAAGCCUGCGAAAAGCGUGGAGGAGCUGGCAAUAAAGCUAUGAUCCCGCGAUGUCCGAAUGGGGAAACCCACCUCUUAGGAGGUAUCCUUAUCUGAAUACAUAGGAUAAGCGAAGCGAACCCGGAGAACUGAACCAUCUAAGUACCCGGAGGAAAAGAAAUCAACCGAGAUUCCGCAAGUAGUGGCGAGCGAACGCGGAGAAGCCUGUACGUGAUAACUGUCGAGAUAGAAGAACAAGCUGGGAAGCUUGACCAUAGUGGGUGAUAGUCCCGUAUUCGAAAUCUCAACAGUGGUACUAAGCGUACGAAAAGUAGGGCGGGACACGUGAAAUCCUGUCUGAAUAUGGGGGGACCAUCCUCCAAGGCUAAAUACUCAUCAUCGACCGAUAGUGAACCAGUACCGUGAGGGAAAGGCGAAAAGAACCCCGGGAGGGGAGUGAAAUAGAACCUGAAACCUGAUGCAUACAAACAGUGGGAGCACCCUUGUGGUGUGACUGCGUACCUUUUGUAUAAUGGGUCAACGACUUACAUUCAGUAGCGAGCUUAACCGAAUAGGGGAGGCGUAGGGAAACCGAGUCUUAAUAGGGCGAACAGUUGCUGGGUGUAGACCCGAAACCGAGUGAUCUAUCCAUGGCCAGGUUGAAGGUGCCGUAACAGGUACUGGAGGACCGAACCCACGCAUGUUGCAAAAUGCGGGGAUGAGCUGUGGAUAGGGGUGAAAGGCUAAACAAACUCGGAGAUAGCUGGUUCUCCCCGAAAACUAUUUAGGUAGUGCCUCGAGCAAGACACUGAUGGGGGUAAAGCACUGUUAUGGCUAGGGGGUUAUUGCAACUUACCAACCCAUGGCAAACUAAGAAUACCAUCAAGUGGUUCCUCGGGAGACAGACAGCGGGUGCUAACGUCCGUUGUCAAGAGGGAAACAACCCAGACCGCCAGCUAAGGUCCCAAAUGAUAGAUUAAGUGGUAAACGAAGUGGGAAGGCCCAGACAGCCAGGAUGUUGGCUUAGAAGCAGCCAUCAUUUAAAGAAAGCGUAAUAGCUCACUGGUCGAGUCGUCCUGCGCGGAAGAUGUAACGGGGCUCAAAUCUAUAACCGAAGCUGCGGAUGCCAGUUUACUGGCAUGGUAGGGGAGCGUUCUGUAGGCUGAUGAAGGUGCAUUGUAAAGUGUGCUGGAGGUAUCAGAAGUGCGAAUGUUGACAUGAGUAGCGAUAAAGCGGGUGAAAAGCCCGCUCGCCGAAAGCCCAAGGUUUCCUACGCAACGUUCAUCGGCGUAGGGUGAGUCGGCCCCUAAGGCGAGGCAGAAAUGCGUAGUCGAUGGGAAACAGGUUAAUAUUCCUGUACUUGAUUCAAAUGCGAUGUGGGGACGGAGAAGGUUAGGUUAGCAAGCUGUUGGAAUAGCUUGUUUAAGCCGGUAGGUGGAAGACUUAGGCAAAUCCGGGUCUUCUUAACACCGAGAAGUGAUGACGAGUGUCUACGGACAUGAAGUAACCGAUACCACGCUUCCAGGAAAAGCCACUAAGCUUCAGUUUGAAUUGAACCGUACCGCAAACCGACACAGGUGGGCAGGAUGAGAAUUCUAAGGCGCUUGAGAGAACUCGGGAGAAGGAACUCGGCAAAUUGAUACCGUAACUUCGGGAGAAGGUAUGCCCUCUAAGGUUAAGGACUUGCUCCGUAAGCCCUGGAGGGUCGCAGAGAAUAGGUGGCUGCGACUGUUUAUUAAAAACACAGCACUCUGCUAACACGAAAGUGGACGUAUAGGGUGUGACGCCUGCCCGGUGCUGGAAGGUUAAUUGAAGAUGUGCAAGCAUCGGAUCGAAGCCCCAGUAAACGGCGGCCGUAACUAUAACGGUCCUAAGGUAGCGAAAUUCCUUGUCGGGU